UACGUAAGGGGCAAGCGUUGUUCGGAAUUACUGGGCGUAAAGGGCUCGUAGGCGGCCAACUAAGUCGGACGUGAAAUCCCUCAGCUUAACUGGGGAACUGCGUCCGAUACUGGAUGGCUUGGAUUUGGGAGAGGGAUGCGGAAUUCCAGGUGUAGCGGUGAAAUGCGUAGAUAUCUGGAGGAACACCGGUGGCGAAGGCGGCAUCCUGGACCAACAUUGACGCUGAGGAGCGAAAGCUAGGGGAGCAAACGGG
rnacentral:rRNA from 1 species